rnacentral:tRNA from 1 species
GGCCUUAUGGCGCAACUGGAUUAGCGCAACGGGCUUUUAACCCGUGGGUUCUGGGUUCGAAUCCCAGUGGGGCCA